ensembl:lncRNA
AGUGGAUGCACUUAUACACGUAUAACUCUGUCAUUUCACAACCAGAGCUAAACAAAAAUUUAUGAAAAAGCAAUUGUCCAUGAGCAUGCUUGGAAAGGAUGCUGCAACACCAACAUUUAAAGCCUUUCACGUGAAUAAAAAGGCUUCUUGCCUUGUUUAUCUAACCUAAGCACGGAGACACAAAUGCGGGAAGUGAACACCCUAACUGCCGUCGAGCUUGGCCUUUAGAAACACUGAAGCAGCUGACAGGGGUGUGGAUGGUGCAGGAAGAGACACAGAUCAUCCCAGCUGCUGCUGCUGCUAAGUCUCAUCAGUCGUGUCCAACUCUGUGCGACCCCGUGGAAGGCAGCCCACCAGGCUCCCCCUGGGAUUCUCCAGGAAAAACACUGGAGUGGGUUGCCAUCUCCUUCUCCAGAUCGUCCCAGCAGGCCCAGGCUGUUCCUCCUAACCUACCCACAGCAAAGCAGGCCACACCCUCUGCAAACCUGCCGCUCUCCACACGGUCCACACGAGGCUGACGCCACGGGCUGAGUUGAGGCCCUGCCGCUUGGAGCCGUGUCCGGCGGUCCCCACCUGGCCAAGGAGGUGGGCUGAGACGGGGGUGCCCACAGUCACGGGAUCCGAAGCCUUCGCCCAGCUUCUGCCUUCCUCUGUCCGUGUGACUUAGAGACUAAACCACCACCGUUAGUGACAGGUCAUUUCUCUGUAGAAUACUCGAGAGUGUCAUGUUUAGACUAAAAUUUCCACAUGAACUAUUCAUGGAAACCCCUGUCUAUCACAGAAGUGCUAUGAGGGAGCAGGCUGUGUGAAUUUUUCUGCUGAUUUAUUACCUUAUGAAAGUUUCCAGAAAUACACUGUGAAAGUACCAUUUCCUAGUCCCGUUAAAGCGAACCCUGGGCAAGCAGCCAAGAUGAAAACCUUUAACCUCUUCAGGGAUUUCAUAGCCACCUACACCCCGAGGAGCAAGCAGAGAACUCGUGUCUCUGCAGGUGGAACCUGCAACUUCAAGCCCUCCCAAAAGGAGAUAAAGUUGUUUAGAAAAACAGCUUCUCUGGAAUUUGACCAGAGUGAGCAUGUGUCUCAGGGCUGGUCCUCAGCAAAACAGCCGAGCCAACUUUAUACUCACCUUACACUGUCCUGCUCACUUUUCUGGUCUUC